UACGAAGGGGGCUAGCGUUGCUCGGAAUCAUUGGGCGUAAAGGGUGCGUAGGCGGGUCUUUAAGUCAGGGGUGAAAUCCUGGAGCUCAACUCCAGAACUGCCUUUGAUACUGAGGAUCUUGAGUUCGGGAGAGGUGAGUGGAACUGCGAGUGUAGAGGUGAAAUUCGUAGAUAUUCGCAAGAACACCAGUGGCGAAGGCGGCUCACUGGCCCGAUACUGACGCUGAGGCACGAAAGCGUGGGGAGCAAACAGG
rnacentral:rRNA from 1 species